GACGAACGCUGGCGGCGUGCCUAAUACAUGCAAGUUGAGCGAUGAAGAUUGGUGCUUGCACCAAUUUGAAGAGCAGCGAACGGGUGAGUAACGCGUGGGGAAUCUGCCUUUGAGCGGGGGACAACAUUUGGAAACGAAUGCUAAUACCGCAUAAUAACUUUAAACAUAAGUUUUAAGUUUGAAAGAUGCAAUUGCAUCACUCAAAGAUGAUCCCGCGUUGUAUUAGCUAGUUGGUGAGGUAAAGGCUCACCAAGGCGAUGAUACAUAGCCGACCUGAGAGGGUGAUCGGCCACAUUGGGACUGAGACACGGCCCAAACGACUACGGGAGGCAGCAGUAGGGAAUCUUCGGCAAUGGACGAAAGUCUGACCGAGCAACGCCGCGUGAGUGAAGAAGGUUUUCGGAUCGUAAAACUCUGUUGGUAGAGAAGAACGUUGGUGAGAGUGGAAAGCUCAUCAAGUGACGGUAACUACCCAGAAAGGGACGGCUAACUACGUG
rnacentral:rRNA from 1 species